rnacentral:rRNA from 1 species
GUUGAACGGCCACAUUGGGACUGAGACACGGCCCAGACUCCUACGGGAGGCAGCAGUGCGGAAUAUUGCACAAUGGGGGAAACCCUGAUGCAGCGACGCCGCGUGGAGGAAGAAGGUCUUCGGAUUGUAAACUCCUGUUGUUGAGGAAGAUAAUGACGGUACUCAACAAGGAAGUGACGGCUAACUACGUGCCAGCAGCCGCGGUAAAACGUAGGUCACAAGCGUUGUCCGGAAUUACUGGGUGUAAAGGGAGCGCAGGCGGGAAGACAAGUUGGAAGUGAAAUCUAUGGGCUCAACCCAUAAACUGCUUUCAAAACUGUUUUUCUUGAGUAGUGCAGAGGUAGGCGGAAUUCCCGGUGUAGUGGUGGAAUGCGUAGAUAUCGGGAGGAACACCAGUGGCGAAGGCGGCCUACUGGGCACCAACUGACGCUGAGGCUCGAAAGUGUGGGUAGCAAACAGGAUUAGAUACCCUGGUAGUCCACACCGUAAACGAUGAUUACUAGGUGUUGGAGGAUUGACCCCUUCAGUGCCGCAGUUAACACAAUAAGUAAUCCACCUGGGGAGUACGACCGCAAGGUUGAAACUCAAAGGAAUUGACGGGGGCCCGCACAAGCAGUGGAGUAUGUGGUUUAAUUCGACGCAACGCGAAGAACCUUACCAAGUCUUGACAUCCUGCGACGCACAUAGAAAUAUGUGUUUCCUUCGGGACGCAGAGACAGGUGGUGCAUGGUUGUCGUCAGCUCGUGUCGUGAGAUGUUGGGUUAAGUCCCGCAACGAGCGCAACCCUUACUGUCAGUUACUACGCAAGAGGACUCUGGCAGGACUGCCGUUGACAAAACGGAGGAAGGUGGGGAUGACGUCAAAUCAUCAUGCCCUUUAUGACUUGGGCUACACACGUACUACAAUGGCGUUAAACAAAGAGAAGCAAGACCGCGAGGUGGAGCAAAACUCAGAAACAACGUCCCAGUUCGGACUGCAGGCUGCAACUCGCCUGCACGAAGUCGGAAUUGCUAGUAAUCGUGGAUCAGCAUGCCACGGUGAAUACGUUCCCGGGCCUUGUACACACCGCCCGUCACACCAUGAGAGCCGGGGGGACCCGAAGUCGGUAGUCUAACCGCAAGGAGGACGCCGCCGAAGGUAAAACUGGUGAUUGGGGUGAAGUCGUAACAAGGUAGCCGUACUAGUACGAUUGGUA